rnacentral:lncRNA from 1 species
CUGUAAAGAGAGAAUUACAGAAAUAAAGGUUAGAAAGUCUGGUUAGAGUCAGAGAGAUAUGGUAAUUUUAUAUUUGAAAUCUGGACAUGUGGUUUAACAGGAGGCAGGAUAUUUAAAAAUGAGAUGUUUAGGGAGAGCUGGUCAUGUAGAGAUAGAAGAUGACCCAGGUAAGGAUCGGAGGCUUUCCUCACUGAAGGUCCCUGUACAGGGAUUAAGAAAUCACAGCAACGACAACCUAGCAACAGUGUUCUAGACUCUAGUACAGCAACAGACGUAGAGUAUAGAAAUUCUCUGCAACAGUAUUGAGGGAAACUCACUAGAAGCUACUAUAAAUACUCCAGGAAAUAAGUAUGAAGGUCUGAAUACGAAUGGAGGCAAUGGGAAUGGAAAAAAAAGAUGAAAGGGUAUAACAGAAAGGAUAUAGCACCUGAAUGACUGUGGAGGGCAAAGAAGAAAGACUCAAAGGGGCAUGGAAAAAAUUAUUACCCUCACAGAAUAACGUGGCUCCUGGGUUAAGUAAGAAAGAAGGAAAUAGGAGCUCUCAGAUUCUUCUUCCUGAUCAUUUGCUACCCAAGAGGACUUCAUUUCCUUCUAGCUCCUUUAACUUCCAAAUGUUCUGGGUAGAGAGGAGCCUCCCACUGGGGGUCCACAGGAUCUGCUGGCAGCUCUAAAUUUAGAACUCAGGCAAUUCACAUACUUAGCAUCAAAAUCUACUUUCCACAUGCCUCCCAAUGUUUGGGUAAAUUUAUAAUAAAAACUUCCUGCAAUACAAAAGAUAAGUCCCCUUUAAAUGUGCAGGUAUGACUGGCUGACUCCUUAUUGCUAUUUUCUAUUCUAAAAUAAGCAUCAGCUUUAGGUACUUCAUAAC